GUCCAUUUUCAUAUUUUAAAAUAAGUUCCUGUUUAAAUUCAAUGGUGAUUCUCACAGCCUUUCUUUUGGAUUUUCUUUCUUCAUUUUCUACUAUUUUACCUAUUUCUGAUAAUGUACUAUACAGUAGAUUAAUAAAAGUAAUGCAAAGCUACACAAAAAAUAACGAUCAAGCCAUGAGAGUCACAAAACACAAUGACAGAUUCUCAACUGCCAAAAAACGAUUGUUGCCAGAAAAUUUAUCUAAACAUUUGUAAAAAUUACUACUAAGAAAGUAGCCCAAAGAUCGCAAAGCGAUAAAAGUUGCCCAAGCUGGCAACUUGAGAUUACUGAUAUUGUUCCAAUAUAGCGAUAUAUGU
rnacentral:lncRNA from 1 species